GACGAACGCUGGCGGCGUGCUUAACACAUGCAAGUCGAACGGACCUUCGGGUUAGUGGCGAACGGGUGAGUAACACGUGGGUGAUCUGCCCUGCACUUUGGGAUAAGCCUGGGAAACUGGGUCUAAUACCGAAUAGGACCACGCGCUUCAUGGUGUGUGGUGGAAAGCUUUUGCGGUGUGGGAUGGGCCCGCGGCCUAUCAGCUUGUUGGUGGGGUAAUGGCCUACCAAGGCGACGACGGGUAGCCGGCCUGAGAGGGUGACCGGCCACACUGGGACUGAGAUACGGCCCAGACUCCUACGGGAGGCAGCAGUGGGGAAUAUUGCACAAUGGGCGCAAGCCUGAUGCAGCGACGCCGCGUGAGGGAUGACGGCCUUCGGGUUGUAAACCUCUUUCGCCAGGGACGAAGCGCAAGUGACGGUACCUGGAGAAGAAGGACCGGCCAACUACGUGCCAGCCGCCGCAGUAAUAC
rnacentral:rRNA from 1 species